GAUCCUGGCUCAGGACGAACGCUGGCGGCGUGCCUAACACAUGCAAGUCGAGCGAGAGGAGUUCCUUCGGGAACAAAUCUAGCGGCGGACGGGUGAGUAACACGUGGGCAACCUGCCUUGUAGAGGGGAAUAGCCUUCCGAAAGGAAGAUUAAUACCGCAUAAUAUUACAUUUUCGCAUGAAGAAGUAAUUAAAGGAGCAAUCCGCUACAAGAUGGGCCCGCGGCGCAUUAGCUAGUUGGUGAGGUAACGG
rnacentral:rRNA from 1 species